GUGGGGAAUUUUGCGCAAUGGGGGAAACCCUGACGCAGCAACGCCGCGUGAGUGAUGAAGGCCUUCGGGUCGUAAAGCUCUGUCAGAGGGAAAGAAGUGCAGUGGUGCCAAUACCAUCAUUGCUUGACGGUACCCUCAAAGGAAGCACCGGCUAACUCCGUGCCAGCAGCCGCGGUAAUACGGAGGGUGCGAGCGUUGUUCGGAAUUAUUGGGCGUAAAGCGCGUGUAGGCGGUCUUUUAAGUCUGAUGUGAAAGCCCCGGGCUCAACCUGGGAAGUGCAUUGGAAACUGGGAGACUUGAAUACGGGAGAGGGUAGUGGAAUUCCUAGUGUAGGAGUGAAAUCCGUAGAUAUUAGGAGGAAUACCGGUGGCGAAGGCGGCUACCUGGACCGAUAUUGACGCUGAGACGCGAAAGCGUGGGGAGCAAACAGGAUUAGAAACCCCAGUAGUCC
rnacentral:rRNA from 1 species